GACGAACCGAGCGAACGUUGUUCGGAAUCACUGGGCUUAAAGGGCGCGUAGGCGGGCUGUCAAGUUUGGGGUGAAAUCCCACGGCUCAACCGUGGAACUGCCUCAAAUACUGACGGUCUCGAGGGAGAUAGGGGCGAGCGGAACUAAUGGUGGAGCGGUGAAAUGCGUUGAUAUCAUUAGGAACUCCGGUGGCGAAGGCGGCUCGCUGGAUCUUUUCUGACGCUGAGGCGCGAAAGCUAGGGGAGCAAACGGG
rnacentral:rRNA from 1 species